CGUAGGACACAAGCGUUAUCCGGAGUUACUGGGCGCAAAGGGCGUGUAGGCGGAUCGGUAAGUCUACUCUGAAAGCUCCUGGCUAAACUGGGAGAGGCGAGUGGAGACUGUCGGUCUAGAGUGAGGAAGAGGAAAGUGGAAUUCCGCGUGUAGUGGUGAAAUGCGUAGAGAUGCGGAGGAACACCAGUGGCGAAAGCGGCUUUCUGGUCCUUAACUGACGCUGAGGCGCGAAAGCAUGGGGAGCGAACGGGAUUAGAAACCCCGGUAGUCCAUGCCGUAAACGAUGUUCACUAAACGUUCGUUUCCCGCGAGGGAAGUGGGUGUUGAAGCUAACGCAGUAAGUGAACCGCCUGGGGAGUACGGUCGCAGGGCUA
rnacentral:rRNA from 1 species